ACCUGCAUGUCUGCUGUCUCUCACUAGAAAGGAUCUAUUUUACUUUCCAAAAUGUGAGAAGUUCUGCUAACACCAUGUUUCUUGAGCCAGCAACAUGGAACCAAGCAAUGAAGUUUUUUUUUUUGUUUUUGUUUUUUUUUUUUUUUUUUUUUUUUUUCUCAAAUUAAAUGUGUCUACAUUGAUGUUUUAGUUUCAAUACACUCAUUGUGCCUCAACGACUGGUAGGUGUUUAGGCCACAGGAACAGAUGGGAACUAAUCCCAGAUGCUGUCCCCAAAAAUUACUCUACAAUAAUGGAAGGCCUGCAGCAUUUAAAGUUUCACCCCACAAAUCUUUUCUGCAUACUACAUUACUUAGUGGCAUAGAGAGAGCCACUUCUUCCUGCCUGUCUUGCUGUCUUCCUUUUCUGCUGGCCUGCCUUAACAGGUGGUGCACAUGGAGUAGAGGGGCUGAAGAUGAUGGUGUGAUUUGGGUUUACCAUCCCAUCCUCUUCUUCAGAUGGUAGGCUUUGCUCAAGCAAGAAAGGAUCCUGGUAAUGGUAACUGGAUUCCUAGACAGAAGCCUAAGGAACUGAAAGAGCCUGAAGAGGGUCCAAAGAAAAGCCACUAAGAUGAUUAAAGGCCUGGAGAGCCUGACAUAUGAGGCUGAAGGAACUGGGUUUGUUCAUCCAGGAGAAAAGAUGACUUGGGGGAGACCUCAUCGCUGUGUUCCAGUAUUUAAAGGAUGGCAACAAAAAAGACAGAGACUCCCUUUUUAAAAGGAGACACAGAAAGGACAUGGGGCAGUGUGUACAAGUCAUACCAGGGGAGAUUCCAGUUAAAUGUGAGGAAUUUUUUUUUUUACUUUGAGAAAAAUCAGUCAUUGCAAUAACCUCUCCAAAGAUGUGGUGGGUUUCUCCAGAUCAGAAGAAGAACACAAGGGUGUAAGUGGCACAUUAGGCAACCAAAUCCCAAACUUUCAGAGCUUCUCAGCUGUCUUCUGUAAGGACAAAUAACUGAAAUUUCUAGGGCUUAUCAAUGCCCUGAGAAUCUGUUGAAGCUUUGACAGUUUGGAGUAGCUAAGGAGCCAGUUCAUAUAAAUCCUACCUCUACCUGUCCUUCUACUUACCUUACCAAGUCUUUCUCCAAAUAUUCAUAACAGAAGCUCCUGCAGAAAAUACAGGGACUGCAAAAGGAGCAAACAGUGCUCUUGGCACGAUGGUGACUUUUAUUCAGCACUCUAGUGCUUCAAACACUCAUCUGGCAUAACCCAUGAACGCUCCUCUAGACCUGUCCAUGUCUGUCUCAUGGGACUCAAAGCCUGCUGACUCUCAGACAAGUCUGUAUGGAGGCUAAUGUUCUCAUUCCUUUGUACUAGAAUGAUGGCAUCAGUAAUCAUUUAGAGGGUGGAAGAAAAAGUAUGCAAAUGGAGUUGAAAGUCUAUGGGUUAUAGUACUUUCAGGGGAAUAUCUUGUGUCUUGUUCCUUAUCUGUUAAACAUACCUUAUGUGUCACAGUAAAAAUAAAUAAAUAGUGGUUUGGAAUGAGUCA
rnacentral:lncRNA from 1 species